AUCACCGCUAUUGGAAUCCGCUUAAGACAUGCGAGUUGAGAGGGCUUAGACCCUCGGCAUACUGCUCAGUAACACGCGGACAAUCUGCCCUAAGGUGAGGAAUAAUCUCGGGAAACUGAGCAUAAUACCUCAUAGAUCAUGAAUGCUGGAAUGCUUCAUGGUCAAAAGCUCCGGCGCCUUAGGAUGAGUCUGCGGCCUAUCAGGUCGUAGUGGGUGUAACGGACCCACUAGCCAACGACGGGUACGGGCGUUGGGAGACGUCGCCCGGAGAUGGAUUCUGAGACACGAAUCCAGGCCCUACGGGGCGCAGCAGUCGCGAAAACUUGUCAAUGCGGGAAACCGCGAACAGGGGAGUCCAAGUGCUUGCACUUUGUGUAAGCUGUUCGGUUGUCUAAAAAACAGCCGAAGGAAGGGCUGGGUAAGACAGGUGCCAGCCGCCGCGGUAAUACCUGCAGCCCGAGUGGUGAUCGAUUUUAUUGAGCCUAAAGCGUCCGUAGCCGGUCUAGUAAAUCCUUGGGUAAAUUGGGCAGCUUAACUGUCCGAAUUCCGAGGGGACUGCUAGACUUGGGACCGGGAGAGGUCAGAGGUACUCCAGGGGUAGGGGCUAAAUCCGAUAUGGUUUUGUGCCAUUCGGUUAGCAUUCCUGUAAUCCUUGGGGGACCACCAGUGGCGAAGGCGUCUGACUAGAACGGAUCCGACGGUAAGGGACGAAACCCUGGGGCGCGAACCGGAUUAGAUACCCGGGUAGUCCAGGGCGUAAACGCUGCAGGCUUGGUGUUGGGGACCCUACGAGGGUGCCCAGUGCCGGAGUGAAGAUGUUAAGCCUGCCGCUUGGGGAGUACGUCCGCAAGGAUGAAACUUAAAGGAAUUGGCGGGAGAGCACAGCAACGGGAGGAGCGUGCGGUUCAAUUGGAUUCAACGCCGGA
rnacentral:rRNA from 1 species